UAUUAAAAAAUUUAUUCACUUAUUCUGUUAAAAAUUAGCAACUGAUAGAAUAAAUCAAACAGUGACAUGUAACAUGUCAUGUGUACCUUAUACUGAUAUAUAUCAACCAAAUUUUAAUCAUAUAAAUGGAUAGAAUUUUUAAUC
rnacentral:pre_miRNA from 1 species